UACAGAGGGUGCGAGCGUUGUUCGGAAUUAUUGGGCGUAAAGGGCGCGUAGGCGGUGCGGUAAGUCACCUGUGAAAUCUCCUGGCUCAACUGGGAGCUUGCAGGCGAAACUGCCGUGCUGGAGUGUGGGAGAGGGGCGUGGAAUUCCGGGUGGAGCGGUGAAAUGCGUAGAGAUCCGGAGGAACACCGACGGCGUAGGCAGCGCCCUGGCCGUUUUACCUGACGCUGAAGCACGAAAGCUGGGGGAGCGAACAGG
rnacentral:rRNA from 1 species